UACGUAGGGUGCAAGCGUUGUCCGGAAUUAUUGGGCGUAAAGAGCUCGUAGGCGGUCUGUCGCGUCGGCUGUGAAAACCCGGGGCUCAACCCCGGGCCUGCAGUCGAUACGGGCAGACUAGAGUGUGGUAGGGGAGACUGGAAUUCCUGGUGUAGCGGUGAAAUGCGCAGAUAUCGGGAGGAACACCGGUGGCGAAGGCGGUUCUCUGGGCCUGUACUGACGCUGAGGAGCGAAAGCGUGGGGAGCGAACAGG
rnacentral:rRNA from 1 species